UCGAACGAACUCUGGUAUUGAUUGGUGCUUGCAUCAGGAUUUACAUUUGAUUGAGUGGCGAACUGGUGAGUAACACGUGGGAAACCUGCCCAGAAGCGGGGGAUAACACCUGGAAACAGAUGCUAAUACCGCAUAACAACUUGGACCGCAUGGUCCGAGUUUGAAAGAUGGCUUCGGCUAUCACUUUUGGAUGGUCCCGCGGCGUAUUAGCUAGAUGGUGGGGUAACGGCUCCCAUGGUACUGUAAUAGUACGGACUUGAAGGGUAAUCGCCACACUUAGUGACUGGACCCGACCACUCUUACGGAGGCAGCGUUAGGGAUUUUCGCCCAAUGGACGAAAGUUCGAUGAGCAACGCCCGGCUGACGUAAGAAGGGUUUCGGAUCUGUUAAACUCUGUUGUUUAAGAGAGAAACGGAUCUUAGAGGUUACUGUGUCAGGUAGUGGACGGGAUUUAUCCAGGAAAGCACGGCUACUACGUGGCAGCAGCCGCGGGUAAUACGUAGGUGGCAAGCGUUGUCCGGAUUUAUUGGCGUAUAGCGAGACGCAGGCGGUUUUUCUAAGUUUGAUGUGAAAAGCCUCUGGCUCAACCGAAGAAGUGCAUCGGAAACUGGGAAACUUGAGUGCAGAAGAGGACAGUGGAACUCUCAUGUGUAGCGGUGAAAUGCGUAGAUAUAUGGAAGAACACCAGUGGCGAAGGCGGCUGUUUGGUCUUGUAACUGACGCUGAGGCUUGAAAGUAUGGGUAGCAAACAGGAUUAGAUACCCUGGUAGUCCAUUCCGUAAACGAUGAAUGCUAAGUGUUGGAGGGUUUCCGCCCUUCAGUGCUGCAGCUAACGCAUUAAGCAUUCCGCCUGGGGAGUACGGCCGCAAGGCUGAAACUCAAAGGAAUUGACGGGGGCCCGCACAAGCGGUGGAGCAUGUGGUUUAAUUUGAAGCUACGCGAAGAACCUUACCAGGUCUUGACAUACUAUGCAAAUCUAAGAGAUUAGACGUUCCCUUCGGGGACAUAGAUACAGGUGGUGCAUGGUUGUCGUCAGCUCGUGUCGUGAGAUGUUGGGUUAAGUCCCGCAACGAGCGCAACCCUUAUUAUCAGUUGCCAGCAUUAAGUUGGGCACUCUGGUGAGACUGCCGGUGACAAACCGGAGGAAGGUGGGGAUGACGUCAAAUCAUCAUGCCCCUUAUGACCUGGGCUACACACGUGCUACAAUGGAUGGUACAACGAGUUGCGAACUCGCGAGAGUAAGCUAAUCUCUUAAAACCAUUCUCAGUUCGGAUUGUAGGCUGCAACUCGCCUACAUGAAGUCGGAAUCGCUAGUAAUCGCGGAUCAGCAUGCCGCGGUGAAUACGUUCCCGGGCCUUGUACACACCGCCCGUCACACCA
rnacentral:rRNA from 1 species